AAGUCGUAACAAGGUUUCCGUAGGUGAACCUGCGGAAGGAUCAUUAACAGAUUCUGCUAGCCAGAUAUCUUACCCCGUGUGAACUGUUCUUUAGACUUGGUGCUCAAGACUCGCAGGGUCUACCCGUCAGAGGGGUCUCGCGAAGGCUGUAAAAGGCUAACGCGGUACCAUUCUGGAGGGGCUCUGGAGCCUAGGCACCGCCAUUUUUACCCUCUAACUUUGAAUGCCGAGUAACUAAACAAAAGACUAGAAAACUUUUAGCAACGGAUCUCUAGGCUCUU
rnacentral:misc_RNA from 1 species